GUGAAGGAUGACGUUGUCGGGAAGGCGCCUUUAAUUCCGACGGUGGGAGAGAGAUGGACGGGGGCGCGAGCUCGCUCUCAGUGUCGUGUGCGCGCGUGAGAGGGAGUGAAGUAACACGUUGAAGCUGCACCCUCUCUAACAUGCUGGUAGGGAGAGUUUUAUUUGGAUUUUUAGUGCUGGAAAUAGUUACAUUCCGACACGUCUCAUUAGUGGGGCAGAAGCAUAGUGGCAUUGUUUAUUCCAGGGACCAGCUGAUUGAGCUUAUGCCGGCCGGUUUAGCGAGCAGAGUGGCAGAUACCCCUGCUGAAAUCUGGAGGAAAACACAUAGAGGAUGCAGAGGGGGAUUACAAAGGCGAGGAAAGAGGACCGGGUCGAGACAAUAGAGACCUAUGGAGAAGAGGAGUUCGGUGGGUAAUAAAAUGGACAUGUUGAUGGUGCUAGCCAGGAGUCAGAGAACAUUUCGAGAGUGCAGUGUUAUGUGUUUCACUGGAACGGGGCUGCAUGAGGACAUACCCGAUCAAAACUUCUCCAUGGAUGGCUUCCAGACCGUUUGGGCUGACCGGAAGUGCACUGAGAGCGGGCUAUGGUAGGAAACUUUGUCACAUGGUGUGAGCAGAAUUAUCUGCAGCUUUAUGUGAAAAAGACUAAGGAGCUGGUGGUAGACCUGAGGAGAGCUAAGGUACUGGUGACCCCUGUUUCCAUCCAGGGAGUCAGUGUGGACAUGGUGGAGGAUUACAAAUACCUGGGGAUAUGAAUUGACAAUAAACUGGACUGGUCAAAGAACACUGAGGCUGUCUACAAGAAGGGUCAGAGCCGUCUCUAUUUCCUGAGGAGACUGAGGUCCUUUAACACCUGCCGGACGAUGCUGAGGAUGUUCUGUGAGACUGUGGUGGCCAGUGUGAUCAUGUUUGCUGUUGUGUGCUGGGGCAGCAGGCUGAGGGUAGCAGACACCAACAGAAUCAACAAACUCAUUCGUAAGGCCAGUGAUGUUGUGGGGAUGGAACUGGACUCUCUGACGGUGGUGUCUGAAAAGAGGAUGCUGUCCAAGUUGCAUGCCAUCUUGGACAAUGUCUCCCAUCCACUACAUAAUGUACUGGUUGGGCCCAGGAGUACGUUCAGCCAGAGACUCAUUCCACCGAGAUGCAACACAGAGCGUCAUAGGAAGUCAUUCCUGCCUGUGGCCAUCAAACUUUACAACUCCUCCCUUGGAGGGUCAGACACACUGAGCCAAUAGGCUGGUCCUGGAC